GCAGCCACGGUGCGACACCUACCGGUCUCGACAUGCUUCUCCUUCCCAACUGGAGCGGGCAAGGAAGGAGAAGCGGCCGCAGACACCGUCCGUCUCACUCUCAAGCUCGUCGGGAGGUUCGACCCCUGGGGUUUCACAACACCGACGGUUGGACGACUACGAACGUAAGUUUGAAGAAAUCAAUCAUCGGCUUGCCCAACUC
rnacentral:lncRNA from 1 species